AAUCAACGCUGGCGGCGUGCCUAACACAUGCAAGUCGCGCGCGAAAGGGGGGCAACUCCCAAGUAGAGCGGCGAACGGGUGAGUAACACGUGGGUAAUCUACCUUCGAGUGGGGAACAACACCGGGAAACUGGUGCUAAUUCCGCAUAACAUCGUCGGGGCUUCGUUCUNACGCUCAAAGCUGGGGAUCGCAAGACCUAGCGCUUGAAGAUGAGCCCCGCGUCCGAUAGUCUAGUUGGCGGGGUAAGUGCCCACCAAGGCUUCGAUCGGUAGCCGGCCUGAGAGGGCGGACGGCCACACUGGAACUGAGGCACGGUCCAGACUCCUACGGGAGGCAGC
rnacentral:rRNA from 1 species